rnacentral:rRNA from 1 species
GACGAACGCUGGCGGCGUGCUUAACACAUGCAAGUCGAACGGAAAGGCCCUGCUGUUGUUUGGUGCUCGAGUGGCGAACGGUUGAGUAACAGGUGGUUAACCUUCCGUUGCCUUUGUGAUAACGUCAGGUAACUAUGGCUAAUAAUGGCUAGGAGCUCCUGCUGCUUGUUGUUGGUUGGAAAGUUUCGGCGGGUGGGGAUUGACUCGCGGCCUAUUAGCUUGUUGGUGGGGUAGUUGCUUACCAAGGUUUUGACGGGUAGCCGGCCUGAGAGGGUGACCGGGCACAUAGGGACUGAGAAAGGGGCAAGAGUGAUACGGGAGGCAGCAGUGGAGAAUAUUGCAAAAUGGGCGGAAGCCGGAUGCAGCAACGCCGCGUGGGGGAUGACGGCCUUAGGGGUGUAAACCGCGUUCGCCUGUAAAGAAGAGUGAGUGACGGUAAUGGGUAAAGAAGCACCGGCUAACUACGUG